rnacentral:lncRNA from 1 species
GUUAAGCAGGUUGGCAUGAAGACUGUGGGUCUGGGCAGUCCAAUCAAGGCAGGCAAUCAAAAAAGGAGAAGCUGAGGCCAGAAGCUGAAAUUUGAAUUAAAGUAUCAUUUGGACAAAAGCCAGGUGGGAACUUAUAAACUGAAUUGCACGUCAUGCUCAACACAUCCCAAGUCCUGCAGUGCAGCUACACAACGAUGUAUUUGCGAGGCUGACAUGAGGCUUGGGAGAUGGCCUCUAAUCAAACAGGAGGCUUUGCUACGGGACUGAGCCCUGGUUCCUGUGAUUGCAAAUGGAAGCUGUUCUUGACUUUAAGUAUUCGUAAAGCACUGGACAAAGGAGACAAAGAAAAUAUUAACACCCUUUUGACAGGUGAGGAAGAGCAUAGAGACACUAAGAAUGUAUCUAGCAGAAAAACAUUAGGGAUAUUCAUGCUAAAGACAAGUCCACUUGGCUACACAACAAAGUCAGUUAUCAGCCAGAGGUAAUUAGCACAGGUGCCAGGAGCAGGAUGGCUGUGUUGAUACGGCACCUAAACUGAGCCCCACUGACACUGGCUUCUUAAUGCUACAUUGGGCAAUGCAGGUAUUUCCUAAAUACUUUGCCCAGUGGGAAUGAAGCCCAGAGCAUUGAAGCUUUAAUGCCUUUAAAACAAGAGUUGUUUUUUCACAGCUACCUGCUUACUUUUGACCAGCAUCCUGCUCAUCUUUAUUGUGUUGUUUUUUGUCUGCCAUUUCCUUUAAAUACAUAUAUAUAUAUUUUAUUAUUAUUAUUUUUUUUUCCAGACAAGCAGACAGAAGAACAACCUCCUCAGAGUCCUCUGCUGAGGACAGCAGCACAAACUCAGUUUUACAAUCAGGCACUGCAGGAAACAAGUGCUACUCUGAGAAACGACUUUGUCAGAAAUGUAGCUGAAGUGUUUAAAAGUGAGAAGUGGUUGUGA